rnacentral:rRNA from 1 species
UACGAAGGGGGCUAGCGUUGUUCGGAAUCACUGGGCGUAAAGCGCACGUAGGCGGAUUUUUAAGUCAGGGGUGAAAUCCUGGAGCUCAACUCCAGAACUGCCUUUGAUACUGAGGAUCUUGAGUUCGGGAGAGGUGAGUGGAACUGCGAGUGUAGAGGUGAAAUUCGUAGAUAUUCGCAAGAACACCAGUGGCGAAGGCGGCUCACUGGCCCGAUACUGACGCUGAGGCACGAAAGCGUGGGGAGCAAACAGG